CCUCUUCCUGGGUGUGGGGCCCUUUCUCGGCGUUACUGUGGCCUUUGAUAUCCAACCCUCCUCCGCCGGCUUAGGCUGCAUGAGAGGGGUGCGGGCUCCCGCGGUCCUGCUCGGCGGAGGGGUGAGUGAGCGGCCCCGCCCCUCCCGGUUCGGAAGCCUGGACCACCACCCGCACCCGAACCCCAGAGGUUGGCCCCUGAGCAGAGGGUAUAAACCGAGCCUUUGCCUGAAUUUUUCUAGUUUCUCUCUCAGCUUCAGGGACCUUUCCUUCGGGGUGCAGAAGAGGGAGGGCAGAGUCCGAGUGUCUGUCCAAACGAGGGGUUUCUGGGGUGCAGUUGCCUGUGGUUUGUGGGGAGACACCGAAUUCAGCGCCUGCUCCCAGGCCGCGCUGCUCCUGUCGCUCCUUUGGAUGCCGGCGCUGCUGCCUGUGGCCUCCCGCCUCCUCUCGCUGCCCCGCGCCCUGACGGCCAUGGCUUCAGGAAGCCCCCCGGCCCAGCCCUCGCCGGCCGCGGACUCCGGUUACGUUCCGGGCUCGGUCUCUGCAGCCUUCGUGACCUGCCCCAAUGAGAAGGUCGCCAAGGAGAUCGCCAGGGCUGUGGUGGAGAAGCGCCUGGCAGCCUGCGUCAACCUCAUCCCUCAGAUUACAUCCAUCUAUGAGUGGAAAGGAAAGAUUGAGGAGGACAGUGAGGUGCUGAUGGUGAGAAUCAUUUCCCCACCCCGCGAAGCCUCAAUUCUCUGACCUUUGACCCCUCUCCUUCAUGAGAUCCUGAGAUGAGCCCCAUGGGUGGACUCAACCACAUUUGUCUUCACCCCUUAGAUGAUUAAAACCCCAAGUUCCUUGGUGCCAGCUUUGACAGAUUUUGUUCGCUCUGUGCACCCUUACGAAGUGGCUGAAGUGAUCUCCUUGCCUGUGGAGCAGGGGAACUCCCCAUACCUGCGCUGGGUGCGCCAGGUGACAGAGGCAGCUUCUGACCCCAGCACAGUCCCACCAUGACGAGCCCUGUUCCUGCCAAGUCCCCGCCUAUACUUCAGGGCCCUCUGACCUGCAGAGGACGCCUGGGCCCCUAAUAAAUCCUACCUUUGGUUCUUUC